CCACUGCCCCAUUGCCUUCUGCAGUUGAAGCAGCUACACGUUUGGCUUUCUUCCGUAUCUUCUUCUUUUGGUUCCUGGUGAGGCCACUACUCGUUGAUGGUCCAGCAGGAGCCCUUGGAGGUGGCUCGAUGGCCCUUGCAGUAGGUGGCACCAGUGGCACACCUGACUUCCGGGGAUCGUUUGAUGGGUCAAUAGGUGGCACCAGUGGCACACCUGACUUCCGGGGAUCGUUUGACGGGUCAAUAGUGGACACGAGCAAUAUGUUCUCAGGCUUCAGGUCAGUGUGGAUAAUUGAAAGCUCGCGGUGGAGGUAGUCAAGGCCAAUGAGCACAUGCCGG
rnacentral:lncRNA from 1 species